CCUAUGUACCAGAGUGACUUGUGAACAUGUAACAACAUUUUGGUGUCCUUGGUAUUAGUCAUGUCAUUUGUCUAAUUCUUUGGAUGCCAUGUUGAUGUAUAACUUUGGUAAACCCUUUGGGAGCCAAUGAUUUUACAUUGACAAAUCAACAACCACCGACACGGCAUGUGUCAAGGACAAAUAAACAUAAGAAGGCUUGUUCCAUGCAUGCACCGUUUGCGGUUAUUGCAAGGUAACUUGCUUCUUUCUAAAAAUAAACGACUCUCGACAACGGAUAUCUUGGCCCACGCAUCGAUGAAGAACGUAGCAAAAUGCGAUACUUGGUGUGAAUUGCAGAAUCCCGUGAACCAUCGAGUUUUUGAACGCAAGUUGCGUCCGAAACCUUUUGGUCGAGGACACGUCUGCCUGGGCGUCACAUGUCAUGUCACCUCCCAAACACACCUCCUGAUGGGGAUGUCAUUGUGGUGGUGGAGAUUGGCUCUCCGUUCCAGAGGUGCGGUUAGCUAAAACAAGAGUCCCUUUUGACUGACACAUGAUUAGUGGUGGUCGGCAAGCCCUAUUAUCGAGUUGUGUGUUCAAAGUAUUUAAGAGGAUCUCCUUGAUGACCCUAAUGUCUCGUCAUGUACGAUGCGUUGAUUGCGACCCCAGGU
rnacentral:rRNA from 1 species